AUAAUACAUCGUAUGUUUAUAAAAAAAACUUUAAAAAUUAUUAAAAAAAAAAAAAAAAGGAAGUGGAACCUGCAGAUGGGACUGAACUGCUAGCUACUCCACAAUACAAUGAAUGACUGAGGAGCUGCUUUUUACAGACAAGCAAAGACAGUGGUUUCUUGAAAUGGAAUCUAUUUCUGGUGAAGACACUAUUAGAUUAUUGAAAUGGUGACAAAGGAUUUAGAAUAUGACAUAAAGUUAGUUGAUAGGGCAGCAGCAGGAAUAGAUUCAAUUUC